CUGACAGGCUGUGUGACGAUGGCUGAGAACUAACCCUCUCUGGUCUUACUUUCCAUCGCCCCUUUGAAGGCAGAGCAGUGGGCGUAGGUGGUGUGGCUUUAAGCAGGUCUGUCUGAAUCCCUAGCUGUGAUCUCCAGGGAAUCGUAACCUUGCAAGGAAGAGGCUGCCAGGCCUGCAUCAGAUGCAGAAACCAGGGCCCAGAGAAGGGGCAAGAGCAUCUUGGACGGAGAAACCUCAGCAAAGACAAAGGCCCGUUGUCCCCCUUCCCCGGCUUUCUGCCAGCUCCCGCCCCGGUCACCAGACGAAGCCAGCCCUGCCCACAGCCCCAGAGGCUGCCGUACGCCAAUAUGGGGUGACUCAGUGCCCCCCCCCACCGCCUUUCCAUUGGUUGAUGAUGCCUGGAAUCCCACCAUCAGAGCUUCGUAUGGUUCCUAUGAGCCGGAGCGGGAGGUGGGAAAAGACAAGAAGGAGCUGGGGGCCUCUGGCUUGUGAAUUUCAUAAUCAGACCUUUAUGGUGGCCUUGCGGGGAGAUCAGGCAAAAAUAAAUAACAAAAACAGCAAACUUCACACUCGC